CACCGAUUGCCCACCUGACUGUCAAUUGUGUUGAACAUUUUUCUCCCCAUUUAGCUGAGAGGCAAGACUGGAAUUUUUCAGAAGAAACUAAGAUCACAGGAAAAGAGCCUUCCCUCCUCCUUAUUAUUAUUAUUUAUUUUUAGUUUAAGAGCACAGAUGAGCCUGGGACAGCUUCGAAGCUCUCCAUCUUUAGUACCUUUUUCCUCCUAGAGUUCUGGAAUAGAAAAGAGUUGCUGAACAAAACCUGCAAGACGGCUGGGCAUGUGCACUGCCCGUGCAGUGUCUCAGCCCUGAUGCUUUUUCAAAAGGCAAAGCGGUCUCCUCGAGUUAUCGCUCUCCUCUUCGACAAGUAUCUGUUGAGCGUCUGCUUCAAGCAAGCCAUGUCCUGGGAGGCAAGUGUGGACGCCACGAAGGCCCCGUCCAAGGAGCUUACGCUGUGGUGGGGAGGGGGACGGGCACAGAGAGCGAGCAGUGAGAAGAUGACGAGGAGGAGGUGGCACCAGGGACCAUUCCAGGCAGAAUGGCAAGAAGCGGGGGAGCUGGGGCGCUGCCACCCAGGCACCCGCUAGCGCCUUCUGAGAACAGAGGGGCCCCUGCAGCAGUGUGGAGGACGCCGCAGGGCUAGCACAUGGGGACAGCGGAGGCUCUGCAGAGCCCAGGAAGGAACGACUUCCACAUCUGACAAGGGAGCCCUGAUGCCAAGGAACCAUCACACACACGCUGGACUUAUUCAGUCAUGAAUUAGUUCAGACCCUGAACGAUCACGUGAGAAUUGAUC
rnacentral:lncRNA from 1 species